rnacentral:piRNA from 1 species
UGAACUCGGCAUAUUCUCAGCUCUCUGGUC